UACGGAGGGUGCGAGCGUUGUCCGGAAUCACUGGGCGUAAAGGGCGCGUAGGCGGCCUCCGCAAGUCGACUGUGAAAUCUCCGGGCUUAACCCGGAAAGGUCAGCCGAAACUGCGGGGCUAGAGUGCAGAAGGGGCAACUGGAAUUCUCGGUGUAGCGGUGAAAUGCUUAGAUAUGACAUAGAACACCAAUUGCGAAGGCAGCUGGCUACACGAAUAUUGACACUGAUGCACGAAAGCGUGGGGAUCAAACAGG
rnacentral:rRNA from 1 species